rnacentral:rRNA from 1 species
AGCGAACGCUGGCGGCAGGCUUAACACAUGCAAGUCGAGCGGGCGUAGCAAUACGUCAGCGGCAGACGGGUGAGUAACGCGUGGGAACAUACCUUUUGGUUCGGAACAACACAGGGAAACUUGUGCUAAUACCGGAUAAGCCCUUACGGGGAAAGAUUUAUCGCCGAAAGAUUGGCCCGCGUCUGAUUAGCUAGUUGGUGAGGUAAUGGCUCACCAAGGCGACGAUCAGUAGCUGGUCUGAGAGGAUGAUCAGCCACAUUGGGACUGAGACACGGCCCAAACUCCUACGGGAGGCAGCAGUGGGGAAUAUUGGACAAUGGGCGCAAGCCUGAUCCAGCCAUGCCGCGUGAGUGAUGAAGGCCCUAGGGUUGUAAAGCUCUUUUGUGCGGGAAGAUAAUGAC